rnacentral:lncRNA from 1 species
CAAAAUAGGGCUUUAUAAUGGCUGUGGGCUCAAGCUAGAGGGAGCAAAUCCAACCUUGUUUUUGAAGCUUUGCAGCUCACGGGCCGUUAGAUAAGUGGUCCAGCCGACUGCUGAAAAAUACCAGUGUAAUACUGAGGUGCAGGUAAGGAAAAAAGAAACUUGAGGAGGAGGGGAAGAGAACAUCAGGCUUUGAAAUCUUCAGGGGAAACAGAAAUGGCCACUGACUUGAGCCCAACACAGGGCAUCAAGGAGCAACAAAUCGACCAGGGAAGUGUAAGCACAAAGGAGAAGCCUCAACAUGAUAGAUGACCCAAAGCCCUCUGGAAAACUUGACCCCCCUACCAGGAGGCAGUCGGAAGAAGGGCAUGACAUGACGAAGUAGACCGUUGCUGCUAUCCUACAAGAAUGCAAAGAAAAUUUCUUUUCCCCUGUUGUCCUCGAAGCCAACACAAGAAGAAAAAGGCAGCAACUUGGCGGCUUUAAAAAUCAAGGAAAUCUUAGCGAAAUUUUCAAGCUCCAUCUUGCAUAGCGGAGACUACUGAUGCUUAUUAGAAGACCAUGUGGGAAAGUGAUUUUGUUUGGAAGAUGCAAAUAGAAAAGAAUAAUUAAAAGGUAACAGAAGAUUGGUCUAUUUAGUGCUGAAACAGACACCCUUGGAUUAGGAGCACCAAAUAAAAUUAGUCUGAAAAAUAUCCACGUAAUCCUCCCAUCUUCUCUUUCUCUUUAGAUAAGAGUAGGGCAGAAUAUUCCAGGGAUUUAAGGCAUCAUUUGUUUACAUGGUCAUAUUUUAAUCAUUUCCAAGAAGCUAAGGUUACACAACCCCAGCG